GGGCGGGGCAGCCUCCCGCAGCGCUCGCGCCGGACACCUGUCACGUGGGCAGGCGUCCGGGGGUAACCCACAUGCGAGGCCACGGAUCACCGAAGGGCACGGACCCCAGAGGCCUUGUGUCCAAGUCCCCAGACACUCAUCAUGGCUGCUUCCUAUUCCCCUCCGAAGGUUUCUGAUACAAGCAACCCAGAAGCAGAGGGAGCAUGCCCAGUGCAGCUUCUCACGCUCCGGCCUACAGGACUCUGGCUGACUCCUGUCUCCUGAAUAAGAGAAUGCCCUUCACCUUUGCGGCCUUCCGUGGUGCAGGAAUUGUACGCAUCAAUCCCAAUCUACCACAGUGAAACGGACGUUAUCCCCAAUAUUCCAUCACCUUCCCUAUGUUGCCAUUGUUCCUCUUUCCAAGAUUUGACAGCUAGCAUUGUACAUGAGCAUUAACCAAAUGGUUCGGGGGUGGGAGGCAGCGGCCUGCACGCUUCCUAACGCUUGAGAGAAUUGAGGCUUUCAUAUGGGAUCAGAGACAAGAAGGCACGGACCAGUGAGAACUUGCAUCUUCUGACCAGGGUGAGCAUGGCCUAAGACUUUCAUAGUACAAAUAUUGAAAGUCCCACAUCCUGGAGACGCCCCCUCAACCCCCACCCUGCCCCCAGAGCCAGGCAAAGCAGGGCAUCAGAUCAAUUCUGACCCCGAUUUUUACUGUUGUUGGUUAACCAGGCGAACCUGUCUUAACAUUUAUCUUGGUUCCCUCAAGGACAGAACAAGGGAUGGCAGUCUUCAUGUCAAUUUCAUUAAGACUAGGGAAGCUAGAGAGAGGACAAAGGCAGAGAAAUGGAGGAGUACACUGGGAGGUUCUGAGGUGGCUGGAAGCUUCACCUCACAUAGCUGAUUGUGUGGGUACAGGCUAGUGCCAGAGAAACUGUCAGAAACAGAGUCCAGAAGCAGUCUCUUGGCUCCGUCCUAUCACCUGUUGCCCGAGGGUUAAAGUCUAGCCUACACACCCGAUGAGUACUCAAGGAAAACAACCUGGGGCCAGUGCCUGCAGGUACUGGGCAGCCCAUGAGUGACAAAUGAGCUUCCCAGUCAGUCAGUACAAGGGCCAGAGUAUGUGGUGACAGAGGCUGGAACCCUGUGAGUUUUCACCAGGACAAGGGAGGCUGAGUGAGAUAAAGACCAAGGUGGAAAGUCAAAACAGGGACCACAUGAGUCUGGACAGGGUCAGAUGGGAAUCCGAGGUUGUUGUGAAAAUGCUAAAUGAGGCAUCUGGGAAUGACCCGUAGUCCUUUGGGGCUUUCUUUAGACUCCAGCAGAAGGUGGUGACCUUGUCUCCAUGGUAACCUCAGUGAGUAUCUACCUGAGGUGGAGUUCCUCCUGCCGAGCAGGCAAUCUGAGCAGUGAAGGGACAAGAUUGGGGGUGGUGAAACACAGGGGCCCGCAGAGCAAAUUAGUGCAGGACAGUGGGUCACACAGUGUGCUUCAGUGCCAGCGCCUGGGGAGCUUUAAGGACCCUCAACCCAGUAAAGAGCAGAGUUCAGGGGCAGUUUAGGGAUGGGUGAUUUGUAAGCCUCCCUCCAGGGCUAGGAUGCAUGAUCCACUGCAGCUAUUCCUAGGACCAGUUAGGACCGGCUGCAUCACCGAGCUCCGGUUCUGUGAGUAUUCUCUGUAUCCUGCCAAGAAAUCCUCUUUUGGGCUAAAGUUAAUACUCUACAGGACAAUCUUAGGUGCUGCGGUCUCUGCGGAGAGUGGCGGUGAGUGACACUUCAUGCUGGGGACCCUGGCAAAGCUAACAACUCACUGGAGUGGGAAGGGACAGUGUUCUGCUCUGCAGUUCCCUGCGGGAGGAAGCAGAAGCUGACUUCCCACAGAAGCUUCCAGUCCCUGCAGUGGCCAUGAGACCUAACCCUGUCCCUGACCCUGACCCUAACCCGACCUGCCCUUUCCAGAACCUCAGAAAAUCCCCUCCCCCCAAACAUGGAGCUUCACCCUAGAAUAACCAUGCGUGACAAACUGGGGACCGCAGAGUUAGCUUCACCUAAAGGUUAAAACCCUACCCUGGAAUCCUGCUGAGGUUUGGUGGGGAAGCACAGUGGAGCAUUGUUUGAUGUGCAAACUGGGAGACAGAGGCUAAGGGGCAAUUUGCUGUCCACGUGGGUGCAUGAAGACAAUAGAGACAGAACAUCACUGCUUCCCCAUCCUUCCCAAGUGCUGUUUGACUCCUCCAUUCCACAGGGAGCAGAGCAAGGCAGGAGUGCCCACUGGCUCCCUCCAUCAUAGAGGCAGCAACCACAGCAGCACCCACAAACUGGUCUGUGGUGGGAAGACACAGGGAGAGGGAUCGGGAGCAGGCAGGCACACAUGCCUGUGCCUCUGGCAGGCAGUCGGUCCGUCCUCAGCUCAGGAACAAACGAAAGGCUGCUCAGUUAGAUCAAAAUGUCCUAUGAACUCCUGGGGUAGGAGGAGGAGGGGGAGGAGGCCCAGACCCAGGCACAUGAUGAUCUGUCCAGCUACAGGACCCCAGGUCAUGAAGAAGUCCUUCGCUUUAGCCUCCAACACACAGAUCAGCAGCUUUCUCUUGGCUUCCUGGCUCUGACUAAACCAAACAACUUUAGUCCACUCAGGGUAGGGGAAGAUGAGGAACAAAAAGUUCUGGAGCAGGCAGGGCAGUGACCUGGACCAAGCAAACCCAAGGAGUCAUGGUGGACUUCCACAAGUGACCCUGAUUAUCAGUGGUGGCUUUAGAGUCGUCUCCCUGCUCUAGGGCCUAAGGUGGCAGCUUGGAGAAAGCUUGCCCACCCCCCAUGCCCUUUCCUUGAGGGGGGUGGGCGUUCAUAUGGUACAGUGUAUCUGUUUGUCAGGAUUCACUUUUUAUACAUUGGGUACCUGGAUCACACUAACACAAUUCCUUAAAGUCACGGGGGCCUUCUUGAUAUUAUGAAGGGGUUUCAGGAGAGGAGGAGAGGUACUAUGAAAUAUUUUGGGAAGAGCCUUAAGGAUGCAUGAUGACUCAGCUGAUAAAGCGCUUACCAUGCAAGCAUGGGGACCUGGACUCCAGAACCCACCCAGAACCCACAAUAAGCCAUCAGGCAUGGUGGGUGCGUGACCUCAUCGCAGGCAAGGCAGAGACAGGUCCCUGGGGCACAGUGACCAGGCAGACUAGCAGAGGAUGUUGAUCCCCGGGCCAGUGAGAGAUCGUGGAGGAGGGAGGAGAGGGAGAGGGAGAGGGAGAGAGGAUGUAGUGGGGAGGAGAGAUCUCGAGAGAUGGCUCAGUGGGUAAGGGUACCUACUACGCACACAUGAGUGCUUGGGUUUGGAUCUCAGCACCCAUGUGAAAAGAAAUAACACAAAGUUCAGUGGGUAGGGAAUGGGAAGGGCCAAGGAGGGAUUGGGGGAAGGAAAAACAUGGUUAAAAUCUACUGUGUGGACAUUUAUUUAUUUAUUUAUUUAUUUAUUUAUUUAUUUAUUUAUUUAUUUUAUGGUCUUUCAAGACAGGGUUUCUCUGUGUAGCCCUGACCGUCCCGGGACUCACUCUGUAGACCAGGCUGACCUCACACCCAAAGAUUUGCCUGCCUCUGACUCCUGAGAGCUGAGAUUAAAGUAUGCAUCACCACCACCCAGCUAAAUUAUUUUUAAAAUAAAGAAAUUAGUUUAAAAAAGGAAGCCAGGGGGUUGGGGAUUUAGCUCAGUGGUAGAGCGCUUGCCUAGGAAGCGCAAGGCCCUGGGUUCGGUCCCCAGCUCCGAAAAAAAGAACCAAAAAAAAAAAAAAAAAAAAAAGGAAGCCAGGCCCCUGCAACCCCUGCACUGUGAAGUGCAGAGACGAGGAUUGCUGCCAGGGCUUCCUGGCCACCAGCCUAGCUCCAGGCUCAGUGAAAGACCCUGUGUUGUUAAGGGAGUAAGAUGGAGAACAGGAAGUCCUCCUCUGGCUUCUGUGUGCAUGGGUACACACACACACACACACACACACACACACACACACACACACACGCACGCACACACACACUUCAGAAAUUAAAAACACCUAGCAUGUGGGAGGCAGAGGCAAGCAGAUCUCUGAGUUCGAAGCCAACCUGGUCUACACAAUGAGUUCCAAGCCAGCCAGGGCAACACAGUAAGACCCUGUCAAUCAAUCAACCAAGCAAUCAAUCAGUAAGUAACAAUUAAAAAGAGAGAGAAACUAAGGCAAUGUCUCAUGCCUAUAGCACUAGCACUGGGGCACCGGAGGCAGAACCAUCAUGAAUUCAAGGCCAGCAUAGACUGCAGAGAGUCACAGGCCAGGAAUAAAUAAGAAAUAUGACGUUUACCCUAGGGUUCUCACAGAAACAAUUAAAGCUUGAUUGAACCACCAAGAAAGAGGUCUGGAGAGCAUGCAGCCCUUGCUGCUGCGACUGUACUCAGCACAGGCCCAGGAAAUGAGCCAAAGGCAUUCUGGAUGUGCCUGCGACAUGGCACUGGGCAUCAUGGAUAGGCCAUGAGGUAAACGGAUGGACACAAUGUGAGAUGGUGAGCGUUGUAGGUCCUGGAAGGCUCAAGUCAUCUCAAUGCCACAACAAAAGAAAGGAAAACACAGAGGUCCUGGAAUGACUCAGGGCAGGUCCAGAGGUCUAGGUCAGAGUUACAGCGGUGCUAAGGAUCCCACCCCAUAGCUAACUUCAGGGCACUUCUGCCCAGCCUCUCCCUUUGACCUGGAAGCUGCCAGACAGAGAUAAGAGUCAUUAAUGUCUGGUUCCAUUACUGUAACGCUCCCUGAUUCACACACACACCCUGCGCAGUCCUUCUAUAACAUAUAUAACUCACACACACACACACACACAGAGGAGCAUCCCCAGGUCCUCUUACUGGGUGUCUGAUGUGCUAUUUGCUUUAAUUCACACAGGAACAAGUAGAGACCGUGCCAGAGAGAGUCUGUGAAAUCAUAGUGGGCAAAGAGGUGAAAGAACCAGGGCACAGGGAGUUACUAGAACCAAGGGACAAGAGUUCUAAGCAUGUCCCAUCUCAGGGUCAAAUCCUUCCAAACACAGGACAAAGCCUGGAAGGACCCACAGACUUGCACACAGAUGCUCACUGGGGACCUGGCUGGGACAGGACAUGUGCAGUAAGUUGAUAGAAAGAGGCAGGGGUGGUGGACUGCCCAGCCAGCACUUGUGGGUGAUGGUUGGGGUUGAAGAGGAGUUUUCUCUUUUAUGAGAGCCCCUCAAGAGACCCUGCAAGAAACUGGGGAGGAUGAAGAGAUUGGGUGUCAUUUAGCAGCAAAGAGAGGAAUCUCUGUGUCAAAGGACAGCAGUCAUUUGGUUUCGAAAAGUCACAGUUUAUGUAGCAGAUGCGGUGGAAGUUUUGGGCUCUAAAUAGCUAAAAACAUCAAUUAUAUUUAAAGUAAUUGAAAAUGUGAAGAAUUUGGGUUUGGAAACUUCAAGCUUUGACCUAACAACCUGAUACAGAGGAAAGACUAUGGGAGGAUCCUGUUUAGUUAUCUGUCCCAGCUUGGGAGAAGUCCAGACAUGUUGGAAAGACAAUGUGCUUGUUCCUAAGGGAGGCAGAGACAGGAGUCCCUGUGGAAGGAAAAUUGAGACAUAUGAACACGUAGAAAUCAUUGAUGACCCCAGGCUAUGAAAGGGGAAAGCCUGCAGGCAUGGGUUGGGCUAGCUGCGGAAGUGUCAUACGCCUUGCCCUGGCAUCCACCGACCCCUCCUACAUAUGCCUGCUCAGGGCCUUUGGCCCAUGGCGCCUCCAGGCCCUACACUUGUUGAACAGCAAGCUGGCAUGAGCUGCCUGCAACACUGAGCCCCAUGUGGACAUAACUCAUGCAUUUCAACUCAUCGGACAAGCUGAUGAAAUUAUCUUUCUCAUUUCGAAAUGACGGAGCCAGGCAGGUUCUAAAAUUGCAGCCUUAAGCAGUGACAUGGCUCAGCAAGUAAAGGGGCUUGCCACAAGCCCGAUGACCCGAGCUACAUCCCCGGACACAGGCGUGGAGGGAGAGAACCAGACCCCACAAAUCCUCUGGCUCCUCCACCCUCCCCACAGAUAAAUGUAGAGCUCUCAGCUCCUCCUGCACCAUGCCUGCCUGGAUGCUGCCGUGCUCCUGCCUUGAUGAUAAUGGACUGAACCUCUGAACUUGUAUGUCAGCCCCAAUUAAAUGUUGUCCUUAUAAGA